GUUACGUGGAGCUGUCACAAGAGACAGAAAUAUAGAUCUUAUAGAAAGAAUCAAUUAGAAGAGCCAAAAUUUAUAAGCUUAGAUUCAAAACAUUCUGGAGGAGCAGAUUGUGUGAAGAAGCCAGCAGAAGUCAA